AUAAAUGAAUUUAUAAUGUAACUUAUGUAGUUUACAUAGGAAAAUGUAAUUUUUGCUUGAUGAUUCAUACUUAUAUCUACUAUAAUUUGAUAUGGAAAAUAUUCAAAUUGAAGAGAAGUAUUUAUAUAUUUAUUUUGUUUCUAAUAAUAAAUGUAUAUUUAUACAUAGAUAUAAAAAGAGGAACAUUAUGCGUCUUCUUUCUCCAAUUAUCAUUGCAUUAUAUAUUGCAAAUUCUAGUUUUCAAUCUUAUUCUAAAUUGAAUCGAUUAUAAUAAAAAUGGAACAAGAAAAUACAUUAAAUAAAUAUCUAUUUCAUGUCUAUGCUCGUAUCGACUGCUUUGCAUUCUUGCUGUUUCAAUAUUUAAUUAUACAACAUUCAAAUUUAAAGAAGAAAAAUGAGCACCAUAAGAAUAUAAAUACAUUUGAAAGUAAAAGGAUGAUUCUCGAAAGUUAUUUUUCAUUAAUGAACACUGAGGAUAUCCAAGAGUGAUGAUGCUAUUAUUUACAUAGUGUCCAAUACGUAAAAUAAUUUUCGAAAGUAAUUCUCGAGUUUUAUUCUCAAGUGGAUUCACGUUCCUUAGAUGUACCAGUAUAUCGUAUUUUUCUUUGUCUGUGUUAGAUAAGAUAAUAUGAAAUAAAUUGAAUUCAUGAUA